AGUAUCAUUAAGUGAAUACAUAGCUUAAUGCGGGGAACUCAGGGAACUGAAACACGUAAGGACCGGAAGGAGGAGGAAGAAAUUCGAUUCCGUAAGUAGCGGCGAGCGAACGCGGAUUAGCCCAAACCAAUAAAGUUUUCUUUAUUGUGGUUGAGGACAUACCACAUAUAAGAGGUCAUUAUAGACGAAGAAGUUUGGAAAAACUCAUCAUAGAAGGUAAUAAUCCUGUAGUCAAAAUAAUAAUUCUUUAGGUAUGAUCCAGAGUACCACGGGACACGUGAAACCCUGUGGGAGGCAGGAGGGACCACCCUCCAAGGCUAAAUACUACCUAGUGACCGA
rnacentral:rRNA from 1 species